UACGUAGGGGCAAGCGUUGUCCGGAAUCAUUGGGCGUAAAGAGCGCGUAGGCGGCCAGACAAGUCCGGUGUGAAAGUCACAGGCUCAACCUGUGAAUGCCGCUGGAAACUGUUGGCUAGAGUCCGGAAGGGGCGAGUGGAAUUCCUGGUGUAGCGGUGAAAUGCGCAGAUAUCAGGAGGAACACCUAUGGCGAAGGCAGCUCGCUGGGACGGUACUGACGCUGAGGCGCGAAAGCGUGGGGAGCGAACAGG
rnacentral:rRNA from 1 species